CCGGGGCGUGGGGAGGGG
rnacentral:misc_RNA from 1 species